CUGGCUGAGCCGGAGCGGGAGCCGCGGCUGGGGGAGGCGGAGCCGGGGUGGGCAGUGUGGUGUAUCUCUCUCCACCCCGGGCCGCGCUCCGGGAGGGAAAAGGGACUGCAGACCCCCUGUCCGUGCUCCCUGCUGAGACGCCAGCCUUCUUCUGGAGGCCCCUUGUUUCGCGUCCCUACCCUAGGCUGGAAGCUGCUGUCCUUUGAGGGCUUCGGAGAUGAGAACAGGAAACAGGCCCCUCCAGUGCCCCCUAACCCAGAGAGGCAGAGGCUGUGGGCCGUGGGGGGUUGGAUGGGAGAUGAUGUGGAUGGUCAAUGUAAGGAACACUCCUUCCCCUGGGAGGAGCCUCCCAACCUUCAGUCACACUUCAAGGACUCCCCAACCCAGCCCUAGGAGGGGAGGGGCUCCAUCUCCAUCCCUUCCCAAAAGCUCAGCUUUAGCUGCCUCAUAAACAGGAAAUACCUAUUAGCCAGGAGGAGGGAAGGGAGGGGAGCCGCCUGGAGUAGAGAGUUGACCCCCUCCCUCCUGGGGUCCCCAGCUGCUAGCUUUUCUUUCUUAAGUUUCAGUAUGGGCUCCAGGGAUAGACGAUGGAGACUUGGACUAGUGUCUCCUCCCUAGGGCGUCUGGCCCUGACUGGGUAGGGGGUUCUCCUCUUUGUUACUUAGAGGGGUGUUGGUUGAGAAGGCUGUUUGGUUCCCUCACUCUGGCUCAGAGUCUGCACAGCUGGCUUGACUGGCUGGGGGAGGGUUACAAAUGCGGAGGCUUAAAGUGUUUAUGAGACCUCUUCUCUCCACCUUAGGUUUUUGCUGAGGGAGCAUGAAAUGAUGGAACGGUGCAGAGUCCAGGGAUUGAAAAGAAGGCCUGCCUAGGAAUGGAGACCCUCCCCACCAUGUGCUUAGGAUGGGGGAUAGGGGAGCUUGUACACUGUGGAGUCUCCCACCCCCAGGUUUCCCCAUCUCCACCCCCACCAGGAGCAGAGAGGACCUGACUGAAGCCAUCCACACUCACACAAGUAUUUCCUUGGCAGCAUCCCCUGCCUGAGUGCACCCCCUCCCUGCAUUCUCCCAGACAAAGGUCAGCACUAGAGGGAGUAGAGAGAACAUAAGGCAACAGAACACUGGCCCGAAAUUGUGGAUACCUAGGUUUGAACGCAAGAUUCGCUCCUCAAUACCUGAGUGAUUUGAGACAACUGACCACCCCACCUGGGACACUAGCUUUAUCCUCUGUAACCUAUGGCUUGGUGAGUAUCAAACUAGACAAUGUACACCCAGUCACGUAGCCCAGUGUCAGCCAGGCAGUCCUGUAAAUACGUGUUCUUUCUGCCCUUUUUUUUUUUUUUUUUUUAAGAUUAUCCAAUUCCAAGAGAGGAGGGGGCUGGAUUGGCAGGACAAUUUGAGAUGGUUUGGAGGAGGGGGAAUACCUACCUUGACCUCCUUCUCUCUUUUCUGUCCAUGAAUUUGCCUUCCUCCAAUCCUGUGACCACUUACGCCUAAGGCCACUCAUUCCAAACAACUAGCUUGGUCAGAUUCCAUGCUGACCAACACAAUGGUGAUCAUCUGGGUGGACAGGGGGACUACAACCCACCCUAUAAAGGUCUUUGCCUCCUGUGAAUCUGAGAUUUCCCUCUCCUAGAUUACACAUGUGGAAGGUAGAAGCUUAGGAAGGAAGAAAAAACUGCCUUACUUGAGCAUGCACUAAUGCCAGGCACUGCCCUAGGCCUUUUACACUUGCCGACUCAUUUACCUUUCAUGAGGACCUUUGGAAGAAGGUGCUAUUACCUCCAUUGAACAAGUAGGAAAACUGAAGUUCAGAGAUGAUAAUAAAUUUGAACUUGCCUGUAAAACACUGUUCUCCCUCUUCUUCACCUACUAGUUAAUGCUUCCUUAACACCUUAGUUCUAGCUUCACCUUCUCUGGGAAGAUUACCCUUCCCACUCCCACUGACACUAUAGCCCAGUUACCGGUAAGGAAAUACCAUCUCAGUACUGUUGAAUGGGUGGUUAAAAUAAGUGAUUGGGGCUCCUACAGGAACUCCAUUUAGGCAAGUUAGUUAACUUUGCCAAGGUAACAGAGCUAACAAGCACUUGACCCAUUGCUCCACUCCUUGCCUUACUUCUAGUGUGGAUCAGACCUGGGGAGGGAGAAGAGAACAUCUUUGGAGCAUCUCUGGGAAUUGUGGUAUAGGCAAAAAUGGGAAGAGAGGUCACAGACACCUGGCAGACAGAAGGGA
rnacentral:lncRNA from 1 species